rnacentral:rRNA from 1 species
AACGAACGCUGGCGGCAGGCUUAACACAUGCAAGUCGAACGCGUGUAGCAAUACACGAGUGGCGCACGGGUGAGUAACGCGUGGAUAUCUGCCUUUUGGUUCGGAAUAACCCCGGGAAACUGGGGCUAAUACCGGAUGGUUCCUUCGGGAUAAAGAUUUAUCGCCAAAAGAUGAGUCCGCGUCCGAUUAGCUAGUUGGUGAGGUAGUGGCUCACCAAGGCGACGAUCGGUAGCUGGUCUGAGAGGACGAUCAGCCACACUGGGACUGAGACACGGCCCAGACUCCUACGGGAGGCAGCAGUGGGGAAUAUUGGACAAUGGGGGCAACCUUGAUCCAGCCAUGCCGCGUGAGUUAUGAAGGCCUUCGGGUUGUAAAGCUCUUUUGGCGGGGACGAUGAUGACGGUACCCGCAGAAUAAGCCCCGGCUAACUUCGUGCCAGCCGCCGCCGUAACAC